AAAAAAAAAAAAAAGAAGAAGAUGUACACAAGUGUAGAGGUGUAUGACCUGUGGAAGUCAUCAUUAAAAAUCAGGCUUCUUCCUCUGAAAUUCAGACCUUUCAACUGACCUUGCAAGAUCUUGGAGUUCCUUCACAUGCUUAGUCAUCCCUUUGCUUGAAUAAGCUUUAAUCAUGGUUCUGCAAGUGAUUUUAUCAGGUUUACAUCCUUUCUGCUCCAUCAGCUUGAGCACACCUUUCAUCUCGACAAAGUAUCCCAUUCUCCCAUAAGCAUCCGCCAAACAAUUGAAAAACACAGUAUCUAAUUUUAUAUCUGAAUUCUCAAUAAAUCGCAAGACCCCUCCAAUUUUUUCAGGUUUCCCAGCUUGCCCAUAAGCUCUCACAAGAGAGCAUAGUGUAACACAGCUUGGUUUGAUCCUCUCUGACUGCAUUAACUGAAACAAAUACCCCAUUCGUCUCAAAUCCCCAGCCCGCCCAAAUGCAUCAAUCACCACAUUGUAGGUUACAAUUGUCCACGAAUAAUGGUAUGCCUGCAUGUAUUCCAUCACUGCACUCAUUUUCUUAUAAUCUCCAGCUUUUCCAUAGGAAUCCAGGAGAAUGUUAAAAGUCAUGAUAGUGGGUUCAAUCCCUGCACUCUGUAACUUCUCAUAACACUUUUCCAUCAUUUCAAUUUGCCCACUGCUGCCAAAGGCUCUGAUCGUGGAGUUCAUGGUCCAAACAUCAGGUUCACAAUUUUUCUCACUAAGCAUCUUCACUAAUGUUGCUUCCAUCUCUGCAAACCUUUAAGAAAAUAGAAAUGAUGAGUUGUUUCUUUUGCAAUUGAAUAGCAUUGUCAUGCCCUAACUGGUUCCCAGACAUGAAAGCCAUUUUUUCUCCAUAAUGGCUAGGUGAAGAAAUUGAAUAAUUAAAAGGGAAAAAAAGAAAAAAGAAAAAGAAGACUUAAAACAAGAGGCAGCAGGGACGUAGUAAAGACAAAAGAAAAUGAGAAAAGCAACAACUAAUGUAAACGCAGAGAUGCUAGUCAAUGUCAACAAUUGAAUUGAGGACUGAAAAUUGACUGCUCAAUCUAUGCCUUGGGCAAAAAUAGAAUUCUCUGAAAACAGACGCAAUAUAUGUUUCAUAUUCUCAGCAACCAUAUGGGGCAUUCAAAAUUUAGAAAUUGGAGAGGGUCAAUAAGUUACAUUUUUGCUUUGCCAUAUGCAUCAAUGAGUGUGUUAUAUGUGAUUGUGUUGGGUCUGACUCCCAGAGAUUCCAUAUCAGAAAGUAGCAUCUGUGCUUUGUCGAAAGCAAAAACUUGGAGGCAUGACUUUAUGAGGAUUGAAUAAGUGUGAAUAUCAGGCUGGCAAUCAGGAUUGUUUUUCAUUUCCUCCAGUAGAGUAAAUGCUUUGUCAAAGAGACCGCUCCUGCCAUAGGCAGACAACAAAGCCGUAUAGGAUUCAUGGUUCACAACACAUCCUUCUCUAAUCAUAGCUUGAAAGAGCUCAUAAGCCUUCUCAGGUUGCUUACACUUUCCAAGCAAGACAAUGAGUUUGAUAUACAUACCAGAAUUGGGCCUGUACCAUAGCUGCUCUUGUAGCAGUUCGAAAACCUGAAUAUAAAGUAAAAUUUUCACUUCAUUGAGAUUGUAGUCUGAAGACAAUGACAUGGCAAAACUAGGCAAGUAGUAGUACAACAGAUCAACAAAAUGCAAAGGCUAUGCUAUUUCCAAGGCCAUUAUGGCCAUUAUGGCCAUUGCCACGGCUUAUUAAAGGAGAAAAAUAUGUUUUACCAAAAUUACUCUUUCUUAAUUCCUCCUGCAUCUGGGUUAUUUGGAUUAAAAAACUGCCUAGGAGCAUUCUACAGAAUAUCUAGCUGCUGUCCUUCACAUUGAAAACAUUAGCUGCUGUCAGCUCUUCCUUCAACUCAUGUAACCUCUCCUGGCUAAUGGUGUUGCCCUCCAGUCUCCAUUUUUAUUUGACAAUUUGAAAUUUAUGUCAAUUAGAAGUUUCAAUUGAAUGAAUCAAGGAUGGAUCUGUUGGGUUUAAGCUUGGGGAUGUUGCAGGUGGCUUAUAGCCUCGCAGAUAACAGGUACUGAUAAGACUAUCAUUUCCAAGUCUGAUGAUAACAAAGGUAACAAAACACAAAGAAAGGACCCAAGGGAUCUGGUGCUUUACCGAGAUUGAAUCCCAUUGUUGCAUUUGGGCCCUCUUCAUGAAGAAACAUGUCUGUACUUUAGUCUGUAGUGCAGCAAGAAUUUGGGAUGUCAGAUUAAUUUGAAUACACGACAAAAGGAUUCUGCUUCUCCCAAUUUCUGCAACUGGUUUUGCUUGUCAGGCUUGGAUUAUCUAUUCCUGUUUUCUUCCGUAGUUGUCUCAAUUACCGAAAAGCACUAGGAUUUCUCUUCAUUUCUUUUUAAACGUGAGACUAACUUUGAAUUUGCCCAUUGCAAUUCACAACUGUUAAGCUCAAUUUGCUUUAGUCUGACUUGAUUAGUGUCUUUAUAUUCCACUUAAUAUGAAGCACAAGCACAAAUAUAUCCAACAGGUUCUCAGCAACCAAAGCAGCAUGAAUAGUGAGUAGAAACAGACGUCCAUCUCCAAAAAAAAAAAAGCGUACACACAUUGAAUUGAAUUGAAAUCAAUCGAAUUGACGUACCUUGAGAGCAGACUCCCAGCGAAAAGCGGUGAUUCUCUCGUGAAGAGCUUCGAGGACAGUCGUUGGAAGCAAUUUCUUUGAAUUGGUAGGACCUCUCUUUUUCUCAAUAGUAGCUUUUGUUGCAUCUCUUCGAAGAAUCACAGAAAUCGCCUUCCUCGACGCAAUUUUCCGGUUCACUUCCUCUUUUUUCUCUUUCGCCUCUCUCUUCUUCACCUUUUCCCAGUCUAUUGCCCGUCUUCUUUGGCCUCUCUGUGUCACAGCUAGCGCCGCAUCAUUGUUUGAAGGAGAAGGAAUAGAGAGUGGUUCUGUUUCGGGUAUGGAUACAGAAACGGGUACCGAUAUGCCAUGCACAGGCUUUGGGCUCGUCAAUCGAUGCCGGUGCAAUGUAUUGGGGUAAGGAUUUGCGGAGCCGGAGAGUGCGGUCAUCGUUGGUUCUGACUGCACCUGCUGACACUGAAAUUGAAGAUAAUUGUUUCGAUGGGCCUCGCAUAGCUGAUGGAACGCUUCCGGAGGCCCAGGAAAACACCAUGUUAGUACAGCAGGCCAGGCCACGAGUCGGUUUUGGAAUCAAUUCUAUAUGAAUAUGGUUUCGCCUUUUUGAUUCUUUUAAAAUUGAUUUCGAUUAAAUUCAUUACUUUCUAUUUUUAUUUAAUUUUUAAAUAAAAACUACCAAUCAAGUUUUAAUUUAUAAAUAUAAAAGUAUGAAUAGUUAAUUUUUUUUUAGUUACACUGUUGUACUCAUUUAAUGACAAUUAAAUAAUUUUGAUACUUCAAUUUAAAUCAUAAUAAAUAAAUUAUAUAUUAUUAAUGGCCAAUUAAUGAAAAUUAAAAUUUACUAUACAUAUUGAAGAUCUUUUAUAAAUAUUUGGAAGGCCAACUAAGAAUUUGAGAUACUAAUUAAAUGGAAAUCAUUGCCACCCUUUCCGCCUUUGCUAUACAAUUAUAUGAUAUUUACUCUUCUUAUUUCAUGAAGGACUUAUAUUUUUGUGAAUGAGAGCACUACAUCACAAAUGUUAUAAAUUUCUCUAUUUUUCAUCCGAAGUAAUUAAAAAUCCUUGGAUUAGACCAAUGAGCUAAGUCCCAAUCCAGC
rnacentral:misc_RNA from 1 species